UACUCCUACGGGAGGCAGCAGUGGGGAAUAUUGGACAAUGGGGGAAACCCUGAUCCAGCCAUGCCGCGUGUGUGAAGAAGGCCUUUUGGUUGUAAAGCACUUUAAGCAGUGAAGAAGACUCCAUGGUUAAUACCCAUGGACGAUGACAUUAGCUGCAGAAUAAGCACCGGCUAACUCUGUGCCAGCAGCCGCGGUAAU
rnacentral:rRNA from 1 species